GACGAACGCUGGCGGCGUGCCUAAUACAUGCAAGUCGAGCGCAGGAAACUGACGGAACUCUUCGGAGGGAAGGCAGUGGAAUGAGCGGCGGACGGGUGAGUAACACGUAAGGAACCUGCCUCAAGGAUUGGGAUAACUCCGAGAAAUCGGAGCUAAUACCGGAUAGUUCAUCGGACCGCAUGGUCCGUUGAUGAAAGGCGCUCCGGCGUCACCUUGAGAUGGCCUUGCGGUGCAUUAGCUAGUUGGUGGGGUAACGGCCCACCAAGGCGACGAUGCAUAGCCGACCUGAGAGGGUGAUCGGCCACACUGGGACUGAGACACGGCCCAGACUCCUACGGGAGGCAGCAGUAGGGAAUCUUCCACAAUGGACGAAAGUCUGAUGGAGCAACGCCGCGUGAGUGAUGAGGGUUUUCGGAUCGUAAAACUCUGUUGUAAGGGAAGAACACGUACGAGAGGGAAUGCUCGUACCUUGACGGUACCUUACGAGAAAGCCACGGCUAACUACGUGCCAGCAGCCGCGGUAAUAC
rnacentral:rRNA from 1 species